AAAAAUGAAAAUGUGGCUGGCGUGUCGGUGACCUGGCCUGUGAGGAGCAGUGAGCAGAAUGAAUACCUUCCAAGACCAGAGUGGCAGCUCCAGUAAUAGAGAACCCCUUUUGAGGUGUAGUGAUGCACAGAGGGACUUGGAGCUUGCUAUUGGUGGAGUUCUCCAGGCUGAGCAGCAAAUUAAAGAUAACUUGCGAGAGGUCAAAGCUCAGAUUCACAGUUGCAUAAACUGUCACCUGGAACGCCUUAGAAGCCGUGAGGUGUGGCUUUAUGAACAGGUGGACCUCAUCUAUCAGCUUAAAGAGGAGACACUUCAGCAGCAAGCUCAGCAGCUGUACCGGUUAUUGGGCCAGUUCAACUGUCUUACUCAUCAACUGGAGUAUACCCAAAACAAAGAUCUAGCCAAUCAAGUCUGUGUGUGCCUAGAGAGACUGGGCAGUUUGACCCUUAAGCCUGAAAAUUCAACUGCCUGCUCUUUGAAGCUGACACAACUGCUCUGCACCAGACCAUUACCACCUUUGGGUCUCUCAAAACCAUUCAAAUUUCUGAGCACUUGAGGGCUCAUGCUAGUUCAUCAAAUAUAGGGCCCUUCCUGGAAAAGAGAGGCUAUAUCCCAAUGCCAGAGCAGACGCAAGCAUCCAGUAUUGCAACUGUCCCUCUCAGUGAAUGGCACCUUGGAAGCAAGCCUGCCAGUGGUCAUCAGGCUCCUUACAUACCCAGCGCCAACCCCCAGGACUGGCUCACCCAAAAGCAGACCCUGGAGAAUAGUCAGACUUCUUCCAGAGCCUGCAAUUUCUUCAAUAAUGUCUGGGGAAGCCUAAAGGACUUAGAAAACUGGCUCCUCAAGAGUCAGCAACAGGAAGUUCCUGAAAAACCAAGUUAUCAAAAGUGUAACAGCCAUUCCACUACUAGUUCUUUCUCCACUGAAAUGGAAAAGGUUGAAGAUCUAGAGCUUCCUGGUCAAGAUAAGAUGGACUUAUCAGAUUGGCUGGUGACUCCCCAGGAAUCCCAUAAGCUGGGGAAGCCUGAGAAUGGCAGUCAUGAAAUCAGUGAGAAGUUUAAGCUCUUGUUCCAGUCCUACAAUGUGAAUGACUGGCUUGUCAAGACUGACUCCCGUACCAACUGUCAGGGAAACCAGCCCAAAGGUGUGGAGAUUGAAAACCAGGGCAAUCUGAAGUGCCUGAAUGAUCACUUGGAGGCCAAGAAACCAUUGUCCACCCCCAGGGUGGUUACAGAGGAUUGGCUUGUCCAGAACCGUCACGACCCAUGUAAGGUAGAGGAGGUGUGCAGAGCCAAUGAGCCCUGCACAAGCUUUGCAGAGUGCAUGUGUGAUGAGAAUUGUGAGAAGCAGCCUCUGUAUAAAUGGUUUCUGAAGAAAGAAGAAAAGGAUAAAAAUGGGAUACCCAUGGAAACCAAACCUGAGCCUGAGAAGCAUAAAGAUCCCCUGAAUACGUGGCUCUGUCCUUCUAGAAAAGAAGUAAUAGAACAACCUAAAGCACCAAAGGCAAUGGUUCCUUCUAGAAUUGCUGAUUCCUUCCAAGUCAUAAAGAACAGCCCCUUGUCAGAGUGGCUUAUCAGACCCCUAUACAAAGAAGGAAGUCCCAAGGAAGUGCCUAGUACUGAAGACAGAGCUGGCAAACAAAAGCUUAAAAGCCCCAUGUGCACUUUCUGGUGUCCCUUUAACACAGCAGACUGGGUCCUGCCAGGAAAGAAGACAGGCAACCUCAGCCAGUUAUCCUCUGGAGAAGACAAGUGGCAGCUUCAAAUGAAGGUCCAGAGGAAGUAUUACUUAAUACACCUCUACAGGAGGAACAUAAGUUCCCCCCAGACCAUUACAGCCUCCCUGCAGUUUGUGAUCUCUUUGCCUGUAUGCAGCUUAAAGUUGAUAAAGACAAGUGGUUAUAUUGAACUCCUCUACAGAUGUGA